rnacentral:rRNA from 1 species
UACGGAGGAUCCAAGCGUUAUCCGGAUUCAUUGGGUUUAAAGGGCGCGUAGGCGGCCUUCUAAGUCGAACGUGAAAUCCCCGGGCUCAACCCGGGAACUGCGUCCGAGACUGAAAGGCUUGAAUCCGGGAGAGGGAUGUGGAAUUCCAGGUGUAGCGGUGAAAUGCGUAGAUAUCUGGAGGAACAUCGGUGGCGAAGGCGGCAUCCUGGACCGGUAUUGACGCUGAGGCGCGAAAGCCAGGGGAGCAAACGGG